rnacentral:tRNA from 1 species
GGGCCUAUAGCUCAGCUGGUUAGAGCACACGCCUGAUAAGCGUGAGNCNGUGGUCGAGUCCAUUUAGGCCACCA